GAUGAACGCUGGCGGCGUGCCUAAUACAUGCAAGUCGAGCGAACAGACGAGGAGCUUGCUCCUCUGACGUUAGCGGCGGACGGGUGAGUAACACGUGGAUAACCUACCUAUAAGACUGGGAUAACUUCGGGAAACCGGAGCUAAUACCGGAUAAUAUAUUGAACCGCAUGGUUCAAUAGUGAAAGACGGUUUUGCUGUCACUUAUAGAUGGAUCCGCGCCGCAUUAGCUAGUUGGUAAGGUAACGGCUUACCAAGGCAACGAUGCGUAGCCGACCUGAGAGGGUGAUCGGCCACACUGGACCUGAGACACGGUCCAGCCUCCUACGGGAGGCAGCAGUAGGGAAUCUUCCGCAAUGGGCGAAGGCCUGACGGAGCAACGCCGCGUGAGUGAUGAAGGUCUUCGGAUCGUAAAACUCUGUUAUUAGGGAAGAACAAAUGUGUAAGUAACUAUGCACGUCUUGACGGUACCUAAUCAGAAAGCCACGGCUAACUACGUG
rnacentral:rRNA from 1 species